CAUAAAGAGUACACUAAGUGGAAAGUGCAUCCCUCUGAAGUUCGAGCUUCAGUUCUCUCCUGAAGAGAAAGGGAAGAAGAACGUCCAUAUCGACAUACUACAAGGGUCAGCAACCCUUGCAGAAAGAGAGUAUAUCAUUUCAAUAGAAGAUGAACCGGAUUAUGCAGUCGAUCCCCCAUAUUCACUGGGGGGAAUGCAGUAUGUUUCCAAUGAUCUUCUCGAGACCCUGGCAGAUGUAAUCCAUACACCAACGAAUUAAAGUCCCUUGGCUACCAGCUUGGCUUCUCUUCUUCAUCUAUGGAGAAAUACAACAACCCAGCAGACGUGUCCUUUGAUAGUGUCUCGAGGUCAGGCUUUGGUGAGAUGCUGCGUGACUGGAGAUGGAAGGUUCGACCUAGUGAGCAGGUAGAUGAACUUCAUCUGGCAUUAAAAAAUGCUGGGUUGGGCCACACAGCUGAGGUCAUCAUUCAUGGACUGAGUAUCACCUCAAGGAGGCGCUUUGCACAACUUAGAGAAGCAUGGGAGUCAAAGAAAUAGGCCAACACUUUCCUUGCAAUGAUUAUCCUCAUCCAACGACCAAGAAGAGAUUCACUUGAUUUAUACAUUAAGCUGAGAAGCCUACGUCUUCAGUAACAUAUAUUUUAAUUAGUCUGCAUGAUCCUCAGCCUGACCCUCGAAGUGCAUUUUUCUUCCCUAGCCAAUGCUGCUGGGAGUCAUGUAGCUAAGCUACAUAUGAGAAUUAUUUCUGUUUAACCUUGAUAGUAAAUUAAUAAAAAAAAAAAAGAACAACAAGAGAAGCAGACUAGUGAGAGUUUGAAGGAAAUCAGACAGAAAAGGAGUAAGUUAUGAAUAUUUGACAGUUAUAUUCACUAAUUAUGGGCACUUCAAAGUGGUUACAAAAAAGGCUCUCAAAAUCCCCUCAUAUUUGAAAGUUGACUGAAGAAGCUUUUAAAAAUGUAGACUAAAUUGAGACUGCAUGCGACCUUCUGCAAAAUAAAUUGAGUCAAUUUUACGUCAUUUCGAUUGAAUAAAAAUCUUUAGAAUACAACUUUGUGGAUACACCCUCGAAUCAAACAGUCCCAAUACCAUAAGCAGUUUCUUUUCUAAAACAAUGGCAUGACCAGUACUUAUCUCUCUUCAGGAUGUAUCAAACUUGGUUCAGUUGUCUUAGUGGCUAUAAUAAUGUGUUCGUUGUGAAAGGUUUGUGUGGAAAGCGUUUCAGUUUUAUCGCCGCAAUAAUUAUAUGCAUGGCAUAACGACAACAGAAAUUGUUCUUCUUAUAUAAAUGUUGCAUGGCAAAUGUUUUAGUUAACUAGCUAAAACCAUCAUUUCAUGAAGCAACUGAUAACCCUAUUAAAUACAAGUAUUGCCCUUUUGUAAAAUUGUCUCGAUUCUAUUAAUACAAAUACGUUAUGCAUAAAGUAAUAACCGCAGUAAGUACGUGAUAUUAUUUAUGUUAAGGUUGUGUGAAUACUGUUUCAGUUAUAUAGGAUUUUCCGGCCAAAUUCGCGAGUUGGUCAUCUUAAUUAAUUUGUCUUGCGUUCAA